rnacentral:rRNA from 1 species
UAGGUGAAGUGAUUUACUCAUGGAGCUGAAGUCAGUCGAAGAUACCAGCUGGCUGCAACUGUUUAUUAAAAACACAGCACUGUGCAAACACGAAAGUGGACGUAUACGGUGUGACGCCUGCCCGGUGCCGGAAGGUUAAUUGAUGGGGUCAGCGCAAGCGAAGCUCCUGAUCGAAGCCCCGGUAAACGGCGGCCGUAACUAUAACGGUCCUAAGGUAGCGAAAUUCCUUGUCGGGUAAGUUCCGACCUGCACGAAUGGCGUAAUGAUGGCCAGGCUGUCUCCACCCGAGACUCAGUGAAAUUGAACUCGCUGUGAAGAUGCAGUGUACCCGCGGCAAGACGGAAAGACCCCGUGAACCUUUACUAUAGCUUGACACUGAACAUUGAGCCUUGAUGUGUAGGAUAGGUGGGAGGCUUUGAAGUGUGGACGCCAGUCUGCAUGGAGCCGACCUUGAAAUACCACCCUUUAAUGUUUGAUGUUCUAACGUGGACCCGUGAUCCGGGUUGCGGACAGUGUCUGGUGGGUAGUUUGACUGGGGCGGUCUCCUCCUAAAGAGUAACGGAGGAGCACGAAGGUUGGCUAAUCCUGGUCGGACAUCAGGAGGUUAGUGCAAUGGCAUAAGCCAGCUUGACUGCGAGCGUGACGGCGCGAGCAGGUGCGAAAGCAGGUCAUAGUGAUCCGGUGGUUCUGAAUGGAAGGGCCAUCGCUCAACGGAUAAAAGGUACUCCGGGGAUAACAGGCUGAUACCGCCCAAGAGUUCAUAUCGACGGCGGUGUUUGGCACCUCGAUGUCGGCUCAUCACAUCCUGGGGCUGAAGUAGGUCCCAAGGGUAUGGCUGUUCGCCAUUUAAAGUGGUACGCGAGCUGGGUUUAGAACGUCGUGAGACAGUUCGGUCCCUAUCUGCCGUGGGCGCUGGAGAACUGAGGGGGGCUGCUCCUAGUACGAGAGGACCGGAGUGGACGCAUCACUGGUGUUCGGGUUGUCAUGCCAAUGGCACUGCCCGGUAGCUAAAUGCGGAAGAGAUAAGUGCUGAAAGCAUCUAAGCACGAAACUUGCCCCGAGAUGAGUUCUCCCUGAGACUUUAGGUCUCCUGAAGGAACGUUGAAGACGACGACGUUGAUAGGCCGGGUGUGUAAGCGCAGCGAUGCGUUGAGCUAACCGGUACUAAUGAACCGUGAGGCUUAACCUUACA